AUAUACAGGAAGUACCAGGUAAUAACAUGGCUAUAUACAGGAAGUACCAGGUAAUAACAUGGCUAUAUACAGGAAGUACCAGGUAAUAACAUGGAUAUAUACAGGAAGUACCAGGUAAUAACAUGGCUAUAUACAGGAAGUACCAGGUAAUAACAUGGCUAGAUACAGGAAGUACAAGGUAAUAACAUGGCUAUAUACAGGAAGUACCAGGUAAUAACAUGGCUAUAUACAGGAAGUACCAGGUAAUAACAUGGCUAUAUACAGGAAGUACCAGGUAAUAACAUGGUUAUAUACAGGAAGUACCAGGUAAUAACAUGGCUAUAUACAGGAAGUACCAGGUAAUAACAUGGCUAUAUACAGGAAGUACCAGGUAAUAACAUGGCUAUAUACAGGAAGUACCAGGUAAUAACAUGGCUAUAUACAGGGAGUACCAGGUAAUAACAUGGCUAUAUACAGGGAGUACCAGGUAAUAACAUAGCUAUAUACAGGAAGUACC